GUGCCAGCCGCCGCGGUAAUACCGGCAGCUCGAGUGAUGACCGAUUUUAUUGGGCCUAAAGCGUCCGUAGCUGGCCGCGCAAGUCUGUCGGGUUAUCCACCCGCUUAACGGGUGGGCGUCCGGCGGAAACUGUGCGGCUUGGGACAGGAAGGCUCGAGGGGUACGUUCGGGGUAGGAGUGAAAUCCCGUAAUCCUGGACGCACCGCCGAUGGCGAAAGCACGUCGCGAGGACGGAUCCGACAGUGUGGGACGAAAGCCAGGGUCUCGAACCGGAUUAGAAACCCCUGUAGUCC
rnacentral:rRNA from 1 species